UGACCCAUAGGGAAAAGUCCUUCACAUAAACCCACAGCCCCUCCCACCCCCUCCCCCCAAACAACAAUGGAUGGAGAAGGCCUUCAUCGCACCCCACUGAUGGAUGACCAUAAUGACCCAAGAAAUGCUGAAGGUAUUUUAAGUGAUAUUUAGAAGUAUGAGUUUUUGAAAAGUGACAGUUUACUCUGAGCAGAUAAAAGUUUUGACCAGAAACCUGCAUCCAUCUGGUUGUCUUUCUUCUUUCUGUCCUGGAAUUUCCUGCAUCGUUUUGUUUUCGUCUCAGACUUCUCCCAUCCCCACGACCACUAGGGGAGGCCCUCGUCCCACUUCGCUGAUUGAUGACCUUGACGACUUGAGAAAUGCUGCAGGACUUCUCCUAGAUCAUCUCUGAUUUGGCCCUUCAUCGUCCCACCUUCAACUGAUGGAAAAGGCCUUCAUCACCCCCACUGAUGGAUGACCGUAGUGAUUCUACUGUUGGGUUCAUCAGGUUUUCUGGAGGAAACCCUGCAGGUGAAUCCUCCUGGAUGAUCUUGAUUUUGACUCUGAUUUGGCCCUUCACUGCUCCACCAUGGACAAAGGGAAGAGGCCUUCAUCAUAUUAUUAUUAUUUUUUUUGAGGACAGUUUUGUUCAGAGACUAAAUAAUCCAAUUUAUUUUGGAUAUUUAAAAUGUCCUCCAGUUUGUGUUAAAUGUUAAAACUUGUUUCUUGAUCUUUGAGAAAGUGUUUUGUGGUUAUGACAUUAAGGAAAAGCUCAGUCUGGUUUAGGUUUUCCUGUUCUCUGUAGUUAUGCUGCAGUAGGUUUAGGUUACUAGAGGAUGAACUGAUCAUUUUUCUGUUUUGUUUUCUCCAUUGGAGCUCCACCUGGUCUGGCGUUCUGAUUGGCUGGUUCCUUCCUGGAG